rnacentral:rRNA from 1 species
GACGAACGCUGGCGGCGUGCCUAAUACAUGCAAGUUGAGCGCUGAAGGUUGGUACUUGUACCAACUGGAUGAGCAGCGAACGGGUGAGUAACGCGUGGGGAAUCUGCCUUUGAGCGGGGGACAACAUCUGGAAACGAAUGCUAAUACCGCAUAAAAACUUUAAACACAAGUUUUAAGUUUGAAAGAUGCAAUUGCAUCACUCAAAGAUGAUCCCGCGUUGUAUUAGCUAGUUGGUGAGGUAAAGGCUCACCAAGGCGAUGAUACAUAGCCGACCUGAGAGGGUGAUCGGCCACAUUGGGACUGAGACACGGCCCAAACUCCUACGGGAGGCAGCAGUAGGGAAUCUUCGGCAAUGGACGAAAGUCUGACCGAGCAACGCCGCGGGAGUGAAGAAGGGUUUCGGAUCGUAAAACUCUGUUGGUAGAGAAGAACGUUGGUGAGAGUGGAAAGCUCAUCAAGUGACGGUAACUACCCAGAAAGGGACGGCUAACUACGUG